rnacentral:tRNA from 2 species
GGAGAGGUGACCGAGUGGUUGAAGGUACCGGUCUUGAAAACCGGCGUGGGGUAAAACUCACCGAGGGUUCGAAUCCCUCCCUCUCCGCCA